rnacentral:rRNA from 1 species
AGAGUUUGAUCAUGGCUCAGGAUGAACGCUGGCGGCGUUGCUUAACACAUGCAAGUCGAACGAUGAAAGCGGGAGCUUGCUCCUGCUGGAUUAGUGGCGAACGGGUGAGUAACACGUGAGUAACCUGCCCUUGACUCUGGGAUAAGCGUUGGAAACGACGUCUAAUACCGGAUACGACCUUCGGAGGCAUCUCCUGGGGGUGGAAAGAAUUUCGGUCAAGGAUGGACUCGCGGCCUAUCAGCUAGUUGGUGAGGUAAUGGGCUCACCAAGGCGACGACGGGUAGCCGGCCUGAGAGGGUGACCGGCCACACUGGGACUGAGACACGGCCCAGACUCCUACGGGAGGCAGCAGUGGGGAAUAUUGCACAAUGGGCGCAAGCCUGAUGCAGCAACGCCGCGUGAGGGACGACGGCCUUCGGGUUGUAAACCUCUUUUAGUAGGGAAGAAGCGAAAGUGACGGUACCUGGCAGAAAAAGCACCGGCUAACUACGUG